rnacentral:rRNA from 1 species
AAUCAACGCUGGCGGCGUGCCUCAGACAUGCAAGUCGAACGCGAAAGUCCCCUUCGGGGACAAGUAGAGUGGCGCACGGGUGAGUAACACGUAGGUAAUCUACCUUCGGAUGGGGAAUAACAAUCGGAAACGGUUGCUAAUACCGCAUAAUGCAGCGGCACCUAAUGGUGACAGUUGUUAAAGCGGGGGAUCGAAAGACCUCGCGUCUGAAGAGGAGCCUGCGGCGGAUAGCUAGUUGGUAAGGUAACGGCUUACCAAGGCGACGAUCCGUAGCCGGCCUGAGAGGGCGGUCGGCC